rnacentral:rRNA from 1 species
CCUGCCGUCUACUCUUGGCCAGCCUUCUGAAAGGAAGAUUAAUCCAGGAUGGGAUCAUGAGUUCACAUGUCCGCAUGAUUAAAGGUAUUUUCCGGUAGACGAUGGGGAUGCGUUCCAUUAGAUAGUAGGCGGGGUAACGGCCCACCUAGUCAACGAUGGAUAGGGGUUCUGAGAGGAAGGUCCCCCACAUUGGAACUGAGACACGGUCCAAACUCCUACGGGAGGCAGCAGUGAGGAAUAUUGGUCAAUGGGCGAUGGCCUGAACCAGCCAAGUAGCGUGAAGGAUGACUGCCCUAUGGGUUGUAAACUUCUUUUAUAAAGGAAUAAAGUCGGGUAUGCAUACCCGUUUGCAUGUACUUUAUGAAUAAGGAUCGGCUAACUCCGUGCCAGCAGCCGCGGUAAUACGGAGGAUCCGAGCGUUAUCCGGAUUUAUUGGGUUUAAAGGGAGCGUAGAUGGAUGUUUAAGUCAGUUGUGAAAGUUUGCGGCUCAACCGUAAAAUUGCAGUUGAUACUGGAUGUCUUGAGUGCAGUUGAGGCAGGCGGAAUUCGUGGUGUAGCGGUGAAAUGCUUAGAUAUCACGAAGAACUCCGAUUGCGAAGGCAGCCUGCUAAGCUGCAACUGACAUUGAGGCUCGAAAGUGUGGGUAUCAAACAGGAUUAGAUACCCUGGUAGUCCACACGGUAAACGAUGAAUACUCGCUGUUUGCGAUAUACGGCAAGCGGCCAAGCGAAAGCGUUAAGUAUUCC